UGGGGAAUAUUGCACAAUGGGCGCAAGCCUGAUGCAGCAAUGCCGCGUGAGUGAAGACGGCCUUAGGGUUGUAAAACUCUUUCGCUAGGGAAGAUAAUGACGGUAGCCGGAGAAGAAGCCCCGGCUAACUCCGUGCCAGCAGCCGCGGUAAUACGGAGGGGGCUAGCGUUGUUCGGAAUUACUGGGCGUAAAGCGCGCGUAGGCGGACUGAUCAGUCAGGGGUGAAAUCCCGGGGCUCAACCCCGGAACUGCCUUUGAUACUGUCAGUCUUGAGUCCGGAAGAGGCGAGUGGAAUACCGAGUGUAGAGGUGAAAUUCGUAGAUAUUUGGAGGAACACCAGUGGCGAAGGCGGCUCACUGGCUCGAUACUGACGCUGAGGUGCGAAAGUGUGGGGAGCAAACAGGAUUAGAUACCCUGGUAGUCCACACCGUAAACGAUGAAUGCCAGUCGUCGGGUAGCAUGCUAUUCGGUGACACACCUAACGGAUUAAGCAUUCCGCCUGGGAGUACGGUCGCAAGAUUAAAAGCUCAAAUGAAUUGACGG
rnacentral:rRNA from 1 species